UCUUUAUUAACUUUAUUAGCCUUAAGGCUCACCAGUAUUAACAAGUACAUUUUGUACAUGUACAGUGUAUACAUAUGGCAUAAAUAUUGCAAACAAUAUGCAUAGUAAACAAUAGGUGACGUCAGAAGUUUCAUCAAUACAAUAAACUGUUGCUUAAUAUAAAGAGAAAUGUAUAAUCUUUCCUAAGUUACAAAACUGUUUUGUG
rnacentral:lncRNA from 1 species